AACGCACAUUGCGCCCGCCAGCACUCUGGCGGGCAUGCCUGUCCGAGCGUCAUUUCGCCGCCCAGGCCGGCCGUCUGCUGCUUCGCGCGGCGGGCGGGCGGCCUGGUGGUUGGGGCUGUUCCGGCGUGCCAGCGCGCCGCCGGGCCCCGAAAACCAUCGGCGGACCCCGCCCAGACAAACCCCCCUGGCGCAGUCGCAAAAAGCUCGUCCAGGGGCGGCCGGGCAGGUGUUCCCGUCGUCAGCACGCACCCGACAGCAGGAGGGGGUUUCUCCUCUGGCUGCCGAGCACACACACCAAGACUUUGACCUCGGAUCAGGUAGGACUACCCGCUGAACUUAA
rnacentral:misc_RNA from 1 species